UACAGAGGUCCCAAGCGUUGUUCGGAUUUACUGGGCGUAAAGGGCGCGUAGGCGGCCACUGCAAGUCAGUUGUGAAAUCUCCGGGCUUAACUCGGAAAGGUCAACUGAUACUGCAGGGCUAGAGUGCAGAAGGGGCAACUGGAAUUCUCGGUGUAGCGGUGAAAUGCGUAGAUAUCGAGAGGAACACCUGCGGCGAAGGCGGGUUGCUGGGCUGACACUGACGCUGAAGCGCGAAAGCCAGGGGAGCGAACGGG
rnacentral:rRNA from 1 species